rnacentral:sRNA from 13 species
ACAGCUGUUCCGGCAGAAUGAAAAAUACGUCGGAUAAUAUGAUAAAACAACCAGGAUCAGCAGGCUCAUAAAAAUUUCUUCAAAAUAUGAAAUGUUUUUCUUCAGAAAACCGAUAGAAUCAUAGAAAACCGAUUGCUCGCAUGACACAUGAAUUCUAAAAUUUUGUUUUUUGUUUUUGCUUUUCGUUCUUUGGUAUUUUAGAAGCUGAGCUUCAAAAUCGACUUCAGUUCCUAAGAGAGCCAUCACGAUGAAACUACAAUGGUUCCUGUUUGCCUUGUUGGUGUGCUGUUUGGUCAGCAACACUGCAAGUGAAUGUUGUUGUACGGUCUAUGUUUUGUUUAAUGGUCGUGUUAUAGAAAUACCAAGAUGCAGGCCCUACACACAUCUUUGCAGAAUCGCACGACAAAUAUGGUGUGGAUCCAUUUUCGGAUAUGGUUAGGAGGCGAAAAUAAGAAAAUGCGAUUCGAAAAAGUAAAUUUAUAAAAAUACAAAU